rnacentral:rRNA from 1 species
AACGAACGCUGGCGGCAUGCCUAACACAUGCAAGUCGAACGAGACCUUCGGGUCUAGUGGCGCACGGGUGCGUAACGCGUGGGAAUCUGCCCUUUGCUUCGGAAUAACAGUUAGAAAUGACUGCUAAUACCGGAUGAUGUCUUCGGACCAAAGAUUUAUCGGCAAAGGAUGAGCCCGCGUAGGAUUAGGUAGUUGGUGGGGUAAAGGCCUACCAAGCCGACGAUCCUUAGCUGGUCUGAGAGGAUGAUCAGCCACACUGGGACUGAGACACGGCCCAGACUCCUACGGGAGGCAGCAGUGGGGAAUCUUAGACAAUGGGCGCAAGCCUGAUCUAGCCAUGCCGCGUGAGUGAUGAAGGCCUUAGGGUUGUAAAGCUCUUUUACCCGAGAUGAUAAUGACA